GAACUGGCCCCCUACUCUGCCAAGACCAGGGACGUGGAAUGGAUGAGACCCACGGAGCUGACAGAUGACCCUCAGUUCAUCCUGGGAGGAGCUACCAGAACAGACAUCUGCCAGGGAGCACUGGGUGAUUGCUGGCUCCUAGCAGCCAUAGCCUCUCUCACCCUCAAUGAGAGGCUGCUCCACCGCGUGGUCCCUCAUGGUCAGUCCUUCCAAGAGGACUACGCCGGGAUCUUCCACUUUCAGGUACACACACACACACACACACACACACACAUCUCCCUCCUGUCAGGUUACACACACACACACAUCUCCCUCCUGUCAGGUUACACACACACAUCUCCCUCCUGUCAGGUUACACACACACACAUCUCCCUCCUGUCAGGUUACAC